AUCAUAUUAGACGUUCAGCGCUUGAAACGAUUUGUUGUUUGUAAUCAAAUCUUACAAGAUGAAAUCUACCGUGAUUUUCCUUGUCGUUCUCGUAGCGAUGGCUUCCGGUCAACGUUAUAACAUCGACCCGGGUUUUUACCUACCUUCCAGACCCAACCAGGGAUACCAACCAAUAAACACUCAACCGACGUUCAUUGGCCCAGGGGGCAAUAACUUCAGGCCCUACCCCCGACUUACAAACAACCCCUUAGCGCGCGGCGGUUGAAGAGCUAUUUAACAAAAUCACCAUUUUUGAACACUUUAUCGCAGAAGAAAAUAAUAAAAUAUAUAUCUAAUGUAUAAAUACAGCUUAUCAAAUUUGAAUAUUUUGUUUCAUAUUAUAU